UACCAGCACCCCGAGUGGUCGGGACGAUUAUUGGGCCUAAAGCAUCCGUAGCCGGUUUUACAAGUCCUCCGUUAAAUCCAGCUGCUUAACAGAUGGGCUGCGGAGGAUACUAUAAGACUAGGAGGCAGGAGAGGCAAGCGGUACUCAGUGGGUAGGGUAAAUCCGUUGAUCCAUUGAAGACCACCAGUGGCGAAGGCGGCUUGCCAGAAUGCGCUCGACGGUGAGGGGAUG
rnacentral:rRNA from 1 species